rnacentral:rRNA from 1 species
UACGUAGGGUGCAAGCGUUGUCCGGAAUUAUUGGGCGUAAAGAGCUCGUAGGCGGUCUGUCGCGUCGACUGUGAAAACCCACGGCUCAACCGUGUGGUCUGCAGUCGAUACGGGCAGGUUAGAAUUCGGUAGGGGAGACUGGAAUUCCUGGUGUAGCGGUGAAAUGCGUAGAGAUGUGGAGGAACACCGAUGGCGAAGGCAGCCCCCUGGGCUAACACUGACGCUCAUGCACGAAAGCGUGGGGAGCAAACAGG